rnacentral:rRNA from 1 species
CCUACGGGUGGCAGCAGUCGAGAAUCAUUCACACUGGGGGAAACCCUUAUGGUGCGACGCCGCGUGGAGGACUGAAGGUCUUCGGAUUGUACACACCUGUCAUGUGGGAGCAAAUUAAAAAGCUCGUACCACAAGAGGAAGAGGCGGCUAAAUCUGUGCCAGCAGGCGCGGUAAUACAGAUGGCUCAAGCGUUGUUCUGCACCACUGGGCGUAAAGCGUGCGUGGGCUGUGUCGUACUUCGUGUGUGAAAGGCGCGGGAGCAACCCGCGGACGGCACAUCAUACUGCGAGACUAGAGGAAUCGAGGGGGAACCGAAAUGUUCGGUGUAGCAGUGAAAUGCGUAGAGAUCGAGAGGAACACUCGGGGCGAAGGCGGGUUCCUGGACAUUAACUGACGCUGAGGCACGAAGGCCAGGGGAGCGAAAGGGAGUAGAUACCCGUGGAGUC